GGCUUCGUAGCUCAAUUUGUAGAGUGCUUCCGCGCUUGAACAUGCUAUUUCUGUUGCUGGUUCGAGUUCAGCCGAAGCCU